rnacentral:rRNA from 1 species
GACGAACGCUGGCGGCGUGCUUAACACAUGCAAGUCGUACGGUAAGGCCCUUUCGGGGGUACACGAGUGGCGAACGGGUGAGUAACACGUGAGUAACCUGCCCACAACUUUGGGAUAACGCUAGGAAACUGGUGCUAAUACUGGAUAUGUGCUCCUGCUGCAUGGUGGGGGUUGGAAAGCUCCGGCGGUUGUGGAUGGACUCGCGGCCUAUCAGCUUGUUGGUGGGGUAGUGGCCUACCAAGGCGGCGACGGGUAGCCGGCCUGAGAGGGUGACCGGCCACAGUGGGACUGAGAUACGGCCCAGACUCCUACGGGAGGCAGCAGUGGGGAAUAUUGCACAAUGGGCGCAAGCCUGAUGCAGCACCGCCGCGUGCGGGAUGACGGCCUUCGGGUUGUAAACCGCUUUCAGCAGGGACGAAGCUUUUUGUGACGGUACCUGCAGAAGAAGCACCGGCUAACUACGUG